CAAAGGUUUGGUCCUAGCCUUAUUAUCAAUUGUCUCUUAAUUUACACAUGCAAGUCUCAGCACGCCCGUGAGGACGCCCUCUACCCCUACCCCAGGCUUAGGAGCUGGUAUCAGGCACAUUUCCCCGCCCAUUACACCUAGUCCCACCACGCCCCCAAGGGUACUCAGCAGUGAUAAACAUUGUAUAUAAGCGUCAGCUUGACCCAGUUAAAGAGAAGAGAGCCGGCCAACUUGGUGCCAGCCGCCGCGGCUAAACCAACUGGACUCAAAUUGAUACCCCCCCGGCGUUAAGCGUGAUUAAAGCCACCUACUAAUUAGAGUUAAACCUAACGUUGAGCAGUGAAAAGCACACGACAGGGAAACCCAAAAACGAAAGUUACUCUAAUCUCUGCUUGAAUACACGACAGCUAAGAUACAAACUGGGAUUUGAUACCCCACUAUGCUUAGCCGUAAACUAUCCACCCACACCCAACCCACGCCAGGGAACUACGAGCCUUAGCUUAAAACCCAAAGGACUUGACGGUGUCCCACCCAACUAGAGGAGCCUGUUCUAUAAUCGAUGAUCCCCGCUUCACCCAACCCCCUCUUGCUUUAUCAGCCUGUAUACCUCCGUCGCAAGUCCGCCAUAUGAAUGCUCUUAAGCGGAUUCAAUGGGUCCCCCCCACCAACACGUCAGGUCAAGGUGCAGCCAAUGAGGGCGGUAAGUAAUGGGCUACAAUUUCUAAUUUAGAACAAACGGAAUACUGUAUGAAAUACAGUUAUGAAGGAGGAUUUAGCAGUAAAAAGAAAGUAGCGUGUUCUUUUUAACACGGCCCUGGGACGUGUACACACCGCCCGUCGCCCUCUUCGACAAUACUGUUCUGUUAUCUAAACCCAUUUGGAAAAGUGAGAAAAGAGGUAAGUCCGUAACAUGGUUAAGUGGUACUGGGAAGGUGCACUUGGCACAA
rnacentral:ncRNA from 1 species